rnacentral:lncRNA from 1 species
CUCCUCUAGACUGUAAACUCAUUGAGAGCAGAGGACGUGGCUUCUCACCAACUCUGUUAUACUGCGCUCUCCUAAGUACUUAGUACGGUGCUCUGUCCCCAGUAAGUGCUAAAUAAAUCUGACCGAUGGACUGUUUGCUAAAAAUAGCACCCAUUACCCACACAAACUGGGGGACGGAACAUUCGUCUUUGCCUAAUCACGCUACAUCUGUAUUUUUCAGAAAAACAGAUCCCCAAACAAGACAUUUGCUCAGACUCCAUUUGAUUUUGGGGGCUUUCCCCAAGGUCAUUUUGGCAUGGCGUGCAACACUUGCUAUUGUGCUAUUUUUAAAUCGCGCACAAGGAAAAUCAACACAGGACACAAAAUCGUUGGCAUUUCUCUCCAAGAACGGUCUCCUGGGCACUCUGGAUCAAAGGCCCCUUCCUUCUGUGGAAAGUCUCUGCUGUCAAGUUCGGCGAAGUGAACUUAAUAAAAUGAACUGACUAAAUGAUGGCAUGUGAUGAUGAGGGGUGAAGAGAUGUCUCUGAGGGGAUGAGAGCUCCUAAUAUAGAUGGUUGGGCGGUGGCGCGGGGUGGGGAGGAGUCAUGAUGUAGAACUGCCAUCUCGGCACCCUCGGUGCUACAGAUGAGACCCAAUGAGGUCCCAUUUUUGAUCAGUGGGCAGAGGCUUCUACUUCUGCAGCAGCCAGUAGCCCAGAGACCCAGAGGUAGUAACACAGCCUUUCAUCCGGUUUUAUGUUGGACAAUCAGCAUAAAUCAUAAAUCUAGAGGAUCUAGAUAAAUCUAGACUUUGAGCCCCACGUGGGACAACCUAUUAACCUUGUAUCUCCCCCCGCAUAGUAAGCGCUUAGCAAAUAACCUCAUUAUUAUUCCAGCUUCCCCUCACCUCCUGUCACCAGUGCCAAACCCUCCCAGUCCAACCUAUAUCUUUGCUUGCCAUCAAGUUCUCCUGUGACCAGCUUCCAAGUUCACUUCGCCCAUGACCGUGGAAGUGGAAGCGAAAAUGGGAUUGGGGGGGCCACCAUUUCC